AGCUGGAAAAGGAACUGAGAGAAGGGGAGUGACAGAAAGAAGUCCAGACAAGAACACGAGUUCUGGGUCCCUGGCCUUACACAGCGCUCACCCCAGGCCCUGCUGGCCCAGCACACAGCAGGUGAGGCUUGGGAAAACUCUUCCAGCCUUCUCUGAUCGGCCCACUUCCGCCCCUCUGGAGCCUGGGAGCCCUGCCCUCUGGAAUAACCCAGCUCCACGUCUCCUAGAGCCGGACCUUGCCUAGUCAGAGCACUGCGGUGGCAACAACCCACUGAGGCACUGAAUUAAACAAAAAAGGGUUGAGGUUAUGAAAGGAGAGGUUCCAGCUAGAGUUCAAGAAAGUUUUCCAGACCUGCCUGCAGAGAAUUAAACGCAGACACUGUGAAGUUUACCACUGUGUUCCUAGUAUUUUGCACUGGGCAUGGCAUACAGUAGACACUCAGAAAAUCUGUGAAUUGAAGAUUAAAUUGCGUCAGAACAUUUCAAGAAGCACUACACAGGAUGCGGCCUACAGGAAGCGCUCAAAGAAGGAAGAAAGAGUAGGCAGUGUGGAAGGAAUGCUGCUGAAGCCGGGGAGAAAACUGAGGCUCAGAGCAGGGAGACGAUUUGCUCAAGGUCACAGAGCGAGAGGUAGCAGGACAGAGACUGAAAUCCAAACGACCACAUUCCUGCUUCGAGACUUCGGCAACGAAAGCAGG
rnacentral:lncRNA from 1 species